rnacentral:rRNA from 1 species
UACGUAGGGGGCAAGCGUUGUCCGGAUUUAUUGGGCGUAAAGAGCGUGUAGGCGGCCAGACAGGUCCGUUGUGAAAACUCGAGGCUCAACCUCGAGAUGUCGAUGGAAACCGUCUGGCUAGAGUCCGGAAGAGGAGUGUGGAAUUCCUGGUGUAGCGGUGAAAUGCGCAGAUAUCAGGAGGAACACCAAUUGCGAAGGCAGCUCGCUGGGACGUAACUGACGCUGAGACGCGAAAGCGUGGGGAGCAAACAGG